ACUGGCACGACAUUUUUUCAUUCUCAAACCCUACCCACCACGACACCCUACCAGCACCUGACCUUCUCUUCCUCAUCCUCCGCCUCCAACCAUCACCCAACUACUCUCCGCCUCGGCCUCCGUCUCCACUCUCCUCCUUCUCUGCCUCCGUCUCUGUUCUCCUCCGGCACACCUCUUCUCUCAUCUCUAUCCUCAAAUCACCAAAUCCACCAAUGACGCAGUCCAUGCCGGAGCUCCGCCUUGUUCCCUCAUCGAGCCCACCAUGGAAGAUGAGACCUAAUAUUUAAGACAAGGCUCGCAAUCGAUUCAGGUUUGUUGAGUGGAUGGAUUGUUGCUGUUCCGGGACUGAAAUUACUCAAGAUGUUGGAUGGAUUCUUACUUCUUUUUCCAGUAGUUUCUGCAGUCCUUCCUUGUAGGAAUACCUUGUUACAGCAUCUAAGAACCCGAUCUUGUAUGUCUUCUUCAGUUCCCCUAGACUCCAGAGAAUUUAAUGUCAAAGCAACCCAGUUGGUUAACUUCUCUAGGAGUAGCACAUAUUUGAGUACAAAUGUAGAAGUAAGUGCUACUUGGCCCUUACCAUAGAUUUUCUUUUGACACUUGCAGGAAACUGUUGGGACCAGGGUUUUGAUGCUAAUACCAGGAGGACUAAUUGAACUUCUUGUUGCCAAACAAGAAGCAGAUCCUGAGGAUUUAAGAGAAGAUCAGAAAUGGAUGAUGGCAUUGUUCCAUGUGUAAGUGUGAAAAUAUUCUCAUUCUAGCUGGAGUAAAAUAUUUACAGUAUUUUGGUCAAAUAUGGAAGGACCAGUCACAUAUUCAAUUGUUAUACUUUCGAUGAGAAUACUCCACUUGUUGAUGAUCCAUAGUACAUCUUUGCAUUAGGUGAAACAAAAUUCAAGGGACUGCAAAGUGGAGAUAAGUAUGCGAAGAAAGAGAUUGAUCAUGCCCCUGAAGUUAUUGAUGAUCCUGAUCUAUAUGCCCCUUUAUUUCGAAAUAUGUCUAUUUUCAAAAGUGAUGGGUCAAGGCCCAUAUUUCAUGUACCUCAUCUCAACGGAAUUUAUGCUUCUGAAGGAUGGUUCAUGAGGUUGAUGGAGGGAAACAGGCAAUUUGUCACAAGAGACCCAGAAAAGGCUCACUUAUUUUAUCUUCCUUACAGCAUGCGCCAAUUGGAGUUGAAGCUUUAUGUACCUGGUUCACAUCAAAUUAAACCACUGGCAAUAUUCCUCAGAGACUAUGUGAACAUGAUUGCUGGGAAGUAUCCUUUCUGGAAUCGCACACAUGGGACAGAUCAUUUUCUUGUUGCUUGCCAUGAUUGGUAAUUGAUCUAGAAAGUUGGGCUGAAGAAUAAUGUGAGCAUAAAGGUGAGGCUAGGGGCGAUUAAGAAGAAGAGGAACGCUGUGCUGAAGUAUCUGAAGAAUAAUGUUGCUGUUCUUCUCAAGAUUGGCCUUGAUAUUAAUGUAUAUGGAGGGUUAAGUUUCAUAGCUCAUUAGUUUUAAUGUAUAUGAUGUGUCAAUUUCAUCAUUGUUUUGCUUGGCCUUAAUAGAAAUUAAUACAAUUCCCUAAUAUUUAAAGUACAUUUGAAUUUCAUGUUAUUUGUGGA